AUGUACCACGCGUACACGCCGGUUCCGAGCGUGCCGUCCCGCCUACCUGAGCACUGCUCGCGACGUCCUGUCAGCC
rnacentral:sRNA from 1 species